UGUUGGACUUCAAAGUCUGUUAUUUUGGGCUGUUAAAAAAAUGUAGGCCUGCUUACAUUAACCAUAUUCAUCAAUGGCGACCUUCGACAUCAAGGUUUUCAACGCCUACUUGAAGCUCUGAUCAGUUCAGCCAACAAUGGAGAUUCGAGAGGGUUAUGUGAGACGGAUCUUCAUGACGAAACUCUGGAUCUAGAUGCCUUCGUGUCGUGUCAUGUCGCUUGGGUGCUCCUGGAACCGUUACGAGAUGCAUUGAUUCAUUGCCAUUAACGACAAUCUUAUCUUCUUUGACCCAAUUCAAGCACGAUUCCUCAUUCAAUGCAUCUUUCUUUUCUUUCAGGCAGUGGUUCACCAAUUAUAAAUAGGAUGGAGGUGUUGGUAAGACAUACACAUUCCAACUCAUCGUGACCCACUGCAAAGCGUUAGACCUUCACAGUCUUACGCAUCUUCAACGAGUCCCUGAUAUGGAGACAGCGGUGGUCUUGGAGAUGAUAUGAACACUGGAAGCUCAACUUAAGUUGAAUUUAAAAAUCUUCCGAGUCUGUUGCAACGGAUCUCGAUCAGCUGCAGUCAACGUGUUCAUCCUACGUUAUCAUAUCGUCUGGGUUCUUGAUCAUUCCUUACUGCAGAUUCAUCACCGUCAAAACCGUUUUUACCAAUUUCGCAGCGAGGCGACUUCACCAGAAUGAAUUUGGCUUGGCGGAAGUUGUGUAUAUGAUGAGAAGUGCUGAAUAUCAAGCUACGAAGAGAUGCAACAAUGUACAAUUAGCGGAAGAGACUGUAGCUCACUGCCAAGCCCGUGCUUUGGAGCGUGUACGGAUUUGCAAUCAGAAUACUGCUGAGAUCUUUAUUGAUGAUGAAGACUUAUGAAGUAAUAAUUUUGCAAUCCUUUUUUAUUUGGUUUUGUGAUUGUUCCUUGAAGCAAGUAACGUCUCUUUGGACAAGUGAAUUUUGUCCUGACUGGGUUCAUGCUAAUAGAAUUCCCUCAUUGUAGAAUGAUGGACCAGAUUGAAGCUUUUAGUCAUGACAGAAAGAGAUGGAGGAUACUUUAUGAUGAUGAGAACUUUGUAGAAUAUGUUAGAGACAAGGAAGUCAAGGUGCAGAUCAAACAUUGGUUUAACGUUUUAGAAAAAUGAGCAAGGUCAAAUGUUGGUUUAAUGUUUUAGGAACGUGAGCAAGAUCAAAUGCAAAAUUUGAAAAAGAGUCAGCAAUUGCAAGUCUGGUAAAGGGUACACAGCUUCAAGACGCCAUCACAUUGGCUACAUCAUGGUUCAAAUGGUUAGACUAAUAACUAUAACCUUGCUUAGUUAUUAGUCUGGUAAAGGGUACACAGCUUCAAGACGCCAUCACAUUGCAAUUUUAUAGUUAUUAGUCUGGUAAAGGGUACACAGCUUCAAGACGCCAUCACAUUGCAAUUUCUUCGGCUCCUCCCCAUACAGUGGUUGAGCCGAAGAAAUUGCAAUGGUUAGACUAAUAACUAUAACCUUCACAUUGGCUACAUCAUGGUUCAAAUGCAAUAAGCUCAUGCUUCUUGGAACAGAGUAAAUUUAUUGAUCGUUUACACAUGUUACAUAGACAAAAUAAUCAACUAAUUACAACAAAGUAAGAAAAAAAAAGAAUACAGAAUGGAAGACAUUGACUCAACCAAAGUGGCCUUUGGCUCUGAUCCAGGAUUGUGAAAGAUGUUCCACUAGAAAUUUGGAUAGGCAAAAUCAGUUGCAAAAAAAAAAAAAAAAAAAUUUGGAUAGGCCGUAGGCGUUAUUUUUCAUAUUCACCUUCCUUAUUCCUAUGAUUGCUGUAUAUUCUAAAUUUUAUAACUAAUCUACACAUAGAGUAGAAAAUAUUAAAAAUAUAUAUAGAUGUGAAGAAUAUUGGUCAGUUUGGACAAUAGAUAUAAUCAUUUUCAUCCAUGGGCGGUCACUAUUAGUUUUUUUUUUACUUUCUCAGAUUAGUAUUGACAUGUUCUCUUUUAAAGAUACAUUUAAAAGGUAAAAAGGUAGAUUUCAUUCAUCUAUAUUUUUAAUCUUUAUUCAAAACCUCAACUUCUUAACUUUAUACCCAAAUAAAAUCUUAUUUUUAAUAGUUACGAAGAAUUAACAUGCUUUACAAACGACCGAGUAAACAAUAUAUUUUUUUCAAAAAAUAUAUGUUUUAAUAAUAAUUAGAAAUAAAACGAAAUUUUAAUUAAAUAGAAUUCUAUAAAACUGAUAAAUAAUAAAAAAAACAUACAACUAAAUCUCAUCAAACCUAUAUAAUAUGUUAUAGGCUGAAACCUCAUAAUACAGAUACAACUAUCAAAAACAAACAUUAUAAAUAUUUCUAUACCCAAUCAUUCUUAAAAACUAUAAACGCUAUUAUAAACAUCUCUUGCAAAUGCUAACAUAAAACACACACAAUAAAAUUUAUAUACAUCACACGUAAAAUAUAUUCCGUGCGUAGCGCGGACUGGUCCUAGUACUAUUAGAUAAAUAAGUGUAAUUAAUAUAUAUAUAUAUAUGUAUUUCAAUUUUAUUAAUAUGCGUAGAAAGUGUAUAAAUAAGUACACUGAAACGGAGGAGUAUGCUUGAAAAAAUAGAUAUGUAAAAUUAUUAAUUUAAGGAAACUUCUAUGUUUAGAUUCAAAUUAGCCUCCAAGGUGCAGUUGCAUCCAUCUUAUUAUUUUUCCCUUUACCAUAGAUGCGUCAGAUUUUCAGUUCUAUUUUCAAAUUAAAGUUAUAUCUAAAUGAAUUUGUUGAUUUGUUUUGUGCUUUCAAUCUUUGAUAUGAUGUCCCCAUGUAGGCGUUUUGCUUUGUGAUUAUAAUUUUGUGUUUUUAUUUUGAACACUUUUUGGAACACUAACUUUGGGCUUUAUAUUUCAAAUUUACUGUAUGAAAUUUAAAAGAAAAAUAUUAAUUUUUUUCCAAGCCAACUAUUAUAGAUCAUAAAAAAACCUUUUAUGAAGUAAUUAAAAAAAUAAGUGAAAUGAUUUAUUAAAAAAUAAAACAUAGAUUCCAAUCCUAUCUAUCUAUAUAUAUAAAAAAGGUGUUUUGCUCUCUCAUGUGCCCUUUACGUCCUCUGCCACGUCAGAAAGUCAAAGCAAGAGGAGCCGUCACGUGUCCAGGUAACCAAAGUUGUGCGUUUCAUUUAAACGUGUGCGUUAUUUAUGUGGGCUUUCUAAAAUUAGGUCUGGCUUAACUUAGGUUAACGACGUCACACUUCUUCUUUCCUGUGAGAUCACAUCGUCGCCUUCAUGUCGAUCUUUCUAUCCAAAAAACAAUGAAGACAUCACUGGCAAACGGUUGCCAUUGUCGAUUAGAUUCACUUAACACAAUUAAUUUUGUCAUUAACAUCACCGACCCAUUCAUCUCAAGCCAUCUCAUUCAAUACACCUCUUCCUAUCCCAAACGGAUCUUCACCUAUAAAUAAGUGAGUUCGAUCAUGUGAAUUUCAUCAUUUUCUUCUUCUAAAUCAAUUUGAGGAUUUCUAUCUGUAUUUUCCGAUCGUUGGCGACUGAAGAUUAUGAAAAGUUCUAGGCUUUCACGCACCUUAGAAAAAAAGCGUUGGUAUUUGCUUGAAUAUGAAACGAGUGUUGCUGCUGAGUUGCAUGAAAAUCAUUUAUAGCCGAUUCCAUUCCCACUCGAAACUCCGUUUCCGGAUAUUUCGGGAAUCUGAUUCCAAUACGUCGGCUGAUGAUUAUUAUUACCGGAGUUUGUGACAGUUCCGGACCCCCAAGGAUAAAUCUACCAGCACCAUCGUUAAACUCCGGCCCACCAUCACCGCCGGAGAAUCCAUAUGCUAAUUUUAUAUUCUCUCAGAAAGCACAGAAAAAGAGAGAUUAGAUACUCCGUCUGAAGAAAAUUAAAGAGAGGUAACAGACGAAGUCGCUUCUUUUUUUGUUUCGUCAUUAAGGCUCUAAAGGACAAUUUGGUUACAACGAAUCAGGCUUAUCAUUGAGGCCCAAAUAAGAUGCAUAAACUUUAAAUCCAGCUAAAGAUAACCCUCAUUUUCAGACUACACACGUGUCCAACUACAAUAUUUUCUGUAUGACAUAUUCUUGACACGGCGAAGUUGCUUUCUCUUCUGGCAUUUUAAGAUGAUAGUGACGAAAAUAUAAAAAGAAAGAGUAAAUGGUUAUGCAACCGUCCGAUCAGAUAUUUAAAUUUACAUUUUCAAGCAAAUAAGAAACAAAUCGUACGAUGUUAAAACACUCUUUUAUAUAUAUAGAUGUGUAAUUAGCAAUAUUACCGGCUAAUUUAGCUGAUUAUUCACCACGUCUCAGUUAUGUAUUUGCACUUGCGUAAGAGCGAAACAAAAAUCUUUUACUUUCCCCCUUUUUAUAAAAUUUGAGAGUUCUAUAAUGUUUUUUUUUACCUUAAUUGAAUAGAGUUAAUUAAUUACGUUUAGAUCAAAAUCCAAUUCAAAGAAAUAAAAAAAAAACUGUAAGUUUUCUGGAUUAGUUCGAGUAAUAAUUCUUACAUUUUUUUAUAAAAACAGUACUUUCGUCCGUUCGGAAUUACAUGAUGUAUGCACGUAGAUUAAAGAAGUUGAUGUAAUGUCUAUUUUGAUCUUUUCGUUAGUGUUCAAUGCUAAAUUAGUUUUAUAUCAUUUCACUAAAGAUCAUUAAUUACAAAGGUAGAAAAAUUCAUAUUUUAUCAUUCUUUAUUCUUUACAUAGAAUUCAGAGAACUUAGAAUAUAUUGACAAAAAAAUUAUUUAGAACGUCAAGUAAAUCCGAACGGAAUGAGUAAUAAUUUUUAUAGUUAACUUAUGAUAACAAAUACACUGCAUAAUAUUUUACAGUAACUACGUAGUUUUCUCAUUACUAGCUUGAUUCUUUCGAUUGAUAGACAUUUACUUCUUUUGCGAACAAAUAGUUUCUCUUCAGUUAUGUAUUUAUCAAAGAAAACAAAUUAAUAAAUGUAUUUUCAUUUAAUCUAUAUACCUAAGACUGUCUGUAAAUAUGCUUACUUCUUAGUAAGACAGAAGAUUGUCUGUAAAUGAUUAGAAAAUCUCCGUGACAAAAACAAAAACUCAUUGUCGCAUUUUAUGAAUUUUUAGUAAAACCUUUAAACCCUAAAAAAACAGGAUAAAAUAACAAAAAUAUGGCCCUUGGGUUUCAAUUCAAAGUAACACCAUAUUUUCACAUGCAAAUGUGAUGUCUCCGCUCUUACUCUUCCUUUACCUCUUCCAAUAAAAAAAUGUAAACCAGUUACAUUUACAUAAAACUCUUCAUAAUUUUUUUGGUCAAACAUAAAACUCUUUUUAAUGAUUUUUAAUACACACAUAACUAAAAGAAAUAGUGAAUGUUAAUAUGUUACUUUCAAUUUUUAAUGAAAAUAAAUAAUGCAUAUUUAAAUAUUUAUUAAAAUUUAAACAUUUUUUAAUAUCAUAUGAUUUUGAUCUGAAAGAAUCAAAUACAGAUUCAUAAAAACAACUCAGUCCCUAAAACUACAAAAUAAAUUGCUCACUACAUUGAUUAAGAAUAUCUAAAAAUUGCUCAGCAGAUUUGACUAACUGAUCUAAUUCAAAUACACCAAAACAAUAUGUAAGAGCUGAAGUGACUAUUAUACCUUUGAGGACACCCAAGAACAACAAUCCAAUGAGAUAAAGAAUUACAACAAAGAAACAUAAAUACCUUUGAAGGCUCCAUUUGAAUUUUAACUGUUUGCCAUUUAACCAAACCAUUUAUCAAAAACCAGUUAAUGAUUUCUUAAGAUUUUAAAAAGUUACAUUGGUAUGGAUAGAGUCUUGGAAACAGAAAAAAAUGACUCAAAUAAGCUCAAACGAAGUAAAUCAGAGAUGGAGAGAAAGAAAACACAGUAAACAUAAUACUUUCAUUUCUUUACGAAGCGUUUGAAACUAUUUGUAACACAAAUCUUUAAAAAUUAUUACUUAUAAACAAAUAAAAUGAAAUCUCUAUCUCACUUAUACAACUUUAAAAGUCUCACAUGGGAUGUAAUGUGCCAUUAAUAAAUUGUUUAUUUUCACCUAAAAUAAGAUUUAAAUUAUGAAAUAAACAUUACAACAAAACAAAAAUAACCACUUAAACCCAAAGUUUUGCGAAGGAGAAGAAGCAGCGAAGAAGGAUGCUUUGGACUUAUCUACUCUAAUAUUUUCUUUUGGUGGAUGGAUGCGUUAACGCAUCUGUGAAUAUCUAAAGUUACACAUAGAUGUCAAACAAAAUAAGAUCAAAGGAGAUGCUAUGAAAAUGUUGAAUUUGCAGUUAAAAUUUAAUAAUUAUCUUAAUAUCAAUUUUGGUACCGGUUAUUUUUAAUCCAAAGAUUCUUUGAGGUUUAAAUUUCAGAACUACAUAAUUAUCUAGAAAUAAUGACAAUAACAGUAGUGUAACUACUUUUUUUUCCAAAAUAAUAUAAUUAAAAAAUGUUAAUCUUAUGAUUAAUUAUAUAUCAUGGAACAUAAAAAAUUAUGGAUCAAUUUAUAAGCAUUUUUCAAAUAAAUUUCGCAUCAAAAUUAUUUUAAACAUUAAGUAAAUAGUAAAAUGGAAUAGUGUAGUAUUUUGUGUUUUAAAAUAAAUAUUUUAGUUCAAUUAUUUUAUCUGAUCAAAAUAUGAUUCGUUUUAUUUAACAAUUAUUCUUUUGUGAUUUUGUAGUGAUUUAUAACGAGAAAAAUUAUGAUAUGUAUUUUAUAAAAAGCAGAAGACAAAUCAUCUAUCAUGCAGUUUACUUAUUGCAACAAUUUUGAUGUCCAAUUGACAUAAAUUCUAUAUAAAGCAAUUUCACAUAAUGUCCUCUACAAAAUAUAUAAUUGCAUUUUGAAAUUAAAAAAAAAUCAUGUUGAAUACGUAAUGAAUUCACUCGCUCGCGGCCCGGCCCUAGUAUCUAUUUAUAUAAAGUAGAGUUUGAUCUCUAAUGAGCCACGUCGGAUGUCAGCUAGGAAAGUCAAGCGACACAUGUCACCGAUUAAUGAAACUCAGAGUUUUAUUAAAUUCCAAGUCUGAUGGGCUUCGUUUCUAAUAUGGCAUUAUAUUUGCAGAAUAGGCAAGUUUUGAUAUUAGGGUUAACCAAUUUUCAUCUCCGCCGUUGUUCUUGAUUGAGUCACAGCGUGAGUUCUGUUUAUGUUCUUUCGUCUUCUUCCCAACAGUCCUAGGAGCUACCAGUUACAGAUCCAUCCUCUUAAAUCUUUCUUCCACGAUUCGCCAUGAAUGAGAACUUUAUUCAUGCAAAGUGGUGGAAUCUAUUUAUAAAAAGACCAGAUGAUGGUCCUCCACCGUUCAUGUGAGCGUGCUCUGUUUCUGGGAGGCCAGAAACGUCCGAUGCGGUGGCAAACUCAUAGACGGCGCGUAUGAACAAAUUAAAACCGCUUGAGUUCAUAACUUUGAUUCAGACGGCGCGGAUGGAGUAGCCAAUAUAGUAUACAAGGAGAUAUUCAAGGGCCUCUGAGACACAAAGUGGAAGCGGCCAGUGUGUUCUUGAGGAAUUUUAAACUUCGACGCGUAUAUCGUAUUCAAGUGUACUAAGCAUAAUAUUGGUAUGGUGCAAAGACAGCAGAGGCGACAAACAGACAAACGCAUGGCUUGGAGCAGCAGGGCAUGUUAUUAGAACGGAGCGGACAGUUUUCAAGAUCAGGAAAGCUCUCCCAAAGAGUGUGUUUAACUGAUGUCUAAAACCGCAAUUAAAACAGCAGCCUAAUAAAGAAAAAGGGGAAUAGAGCUAUUUUUUAAUCAACAGAGAAAAAUAGUUAUAAGUGGAUGUUGUGUUGUUUGUACAUCAGUUUCAUUGCCUUGGUGCAAAAGCAAUACCAAUUAUAAAAAUCAUAGGGUUUUGGUUAUUGUUGUUGGGACAUGUGUUUAGGCUUCUUUUAGAAUCAAUAGAGUUUUGCAAACAUAGAUACAACUUUUAAUAUUGGGUAUGCUUGGUCGGUGAGAAUGAUCAUUUUUUUGUAUGUUAUGAUGUUGUGUUUAUAUAAUCUUUCCUUAAGUUGUGGUUAUUUUAAGGAGAAUAGUUCGUUUAAUUUUUAAAA